CUACGGGACGCAGCAGUGGGGAAUAUUGGACAAUGGGGGAAACCCUGAUCCAGCAAUGCCGCGUGUGUGAAGAAGGCCUGCGGGUUGUAAAGCACUUUCGGUUGGGAGGACUGCUUCUAGCACUAAUAUUGUUGGAAGUUGACGUUACCUUCAGAAGAAGCACCGGCUAACUCCGUGCCAGCAGCCGCGGUAAUACGGAGGGUGCAAGCGGUAAUCGGAAUUACUGGGCGUAAGGCGCGCGUAGGCGGCUAGAUCAGUCGGGUGUGAAAGCCCCGGGCUUAACCUGGGAACUGCAUCCGAUACUGUCUAGCUUGAGUACAGGAGAGGAGAGUGGAAUUCCACAUGUAGCGGUGAAAUGCGUAGAUAUGUGGAGGAACACCAAUGGCGAAGGCAGCUCUCUGGCCUGAUACUGACGCUGAGGUGCGAAAGCGUGGGGAGCAAACAGGAUUAGAUACCCUAGUAGUC
rnacentral:rRNA from 1 species